CGGAACGUGCCCAAUCGUGGGGGAUAGCUCGGCGAAAGCCGGAUUAAUUCCGCAUACGAUCUACGGAUGAAAGCAGGGGAUCGCAAGACCUUGCGCGAAUGGAGCGGCCGAUGGCAGAUUAGGUAGUUGGUGGGGUAAAGGCUCACCAAGCCGACGAUCUGUAGCUGGUCUGAGAGGACGACCAGCCACACUGGGACUGAGACACGGCCCAGACUCCUACGGGAGGCAGCAGUGGGGAAUUUUGGACAAUGGGCGCAAGCCUGAUCCAGCAAUGCCGCGUGCAGGAUGAAGGCCUUCGGGUUGUAAACUGCUUUUGUACGGAACGAAAAAGCUCUGGUUAAUACCUGGGGCUCAUGACGGUACCGUAAGAAUAAGCACCGGCUAACUACGUGCCAGCAGCCGCGGUAAUACGUAGGGUGCGAGCGUUAAUCGGAAUUACUGGGCGUAAAGCGUGCGCAGGCGGUGAUGUAAGACAGUUGUGAAAUCCCCGGGCUCAACCUGGGAACUGCAUCUGUGACUGCAUCGCUGGAGUGCGGCAGAGGGGGAUGGAAUUCCGCGU
rnacentral:rRNA from 1 species